UUAAGCGACUAAGCGUACACGGUGGAUGCCCUGGCAGUCAGAGGCGAUGAAGGACGUGCUAAUCUGCGAAAAGCGUCGGUAAGGUGAUAUGAACCGUUAUAACCGGCGAUGUCCGAAUGGGGAAACCCAGUGUGAUUCGUCACACUAUCGUUAACUGAAUACAUAGGUUAACGAGGCGAACCGGGGGAACUGAAACAUCUAAGUACCCCGAGGAAAAGAAAUCAACCGAGAUUCCCCCAGUAGCGGCGAGCGAACGGGGAGCAGCCCAGAGUCUGAAUCAGCUUGUGUGUUAGUGGAACGGUCUGGAAAGUCCGACGGUACAGGGUGAUAGUCCCGUACACCAAAAUGCACAGGCUGUGAACUCGAAGAGUAGGGCGGGACACGUGGUAUCCUGUCUGAAUAUGGGGGGACCAUCCUCCAAGGCUAAAUACUCCUGACUGACCGAUAGUGAACCAGUACCGUGAGGGAAAGGCGAAAAGAACCCCGGCGAGGGGAGUGAAAAAGAACCUGAAACCGUGUACGUACAAGCAGUGGGAGCACCUUCGGGUGUGACUGCGUACCUUUUGUAUAAUGGGUCAGCGACUUAUAUUCUGUAGCAAGGUUAACCGUAUAGGGGAGCCGCAGGGAAACCGAGUCUUAACUGGGCGUUAAGUUGCAGGGUAUAGACCCGAAACCCGGUGAUCUAGCCAUGGGCAGGUUGAAGGUUGGGUAACACUAACUGGAGGACCGAACCGACUAAUGUUGAAAAAUUAGCGGAUGACUUGUGGCUGGGGGUGAAAGGCCAAUCAAACCGGGAGAUAGCUGGUUCUCCCCGAAAGCUAUUUAGGUAGCGCCUCGUGAAUUCAUCUUCGGGGGUAGAGCACUGUUUCGGCUAGGGGGUCAUCCCGACUUACCAACCCGAUGCAAACUACGAAUACCGAAGAAUGUUAUCACGGGAGACACACGGCGGGUGCUAACGUCCGUCGUGAAGAGGGAAACAACCCAGACCGCCAGCUAAGGUCCCAAAGUCAUGGUUAAGUGGGAAACGAUGUGGGAAGGCACAGACAGCCAGGAUGUUGGCUUAGAAGCAGCCAUCAUUUAAAGAAAGCGUAAUAGCUCACUGGUCGAGUCGGCCUGCGCGGAAGAUGUAACGGGGCUAAACCAUGCACCGAAGCUGCGGCAGCGACACGAUGUGUUGUUGGGUAGGGGAGCGUUCUGUAAGCCUGCGAAGGUGACCUGUGAGGGUUGCUGGAGGUAUCAGAAGUGCGAAUGCUGACAUAAGUAACGAUAAAGCGGGUGAAAAGCCCGCUCGCCGGAAGACCAAGGGUUCCUGUCCAACGUUAAUCGGGGCAGGGUGAGUCGACCCCUAAGGCGAGGCCGAAAGGCGUAGUCGAUGGGAAACAGGUUAAUAUUCCUGUACUUGGUGUUACUGCGAAGGGGGGACGGAGAAGGCUAUGUUAGCCGGGCGACGGUUGUCCCGGUUUAAGCAUGUAGGCUGGUUAUCCAGGCAAAUCCGGAUAAUCAAGGCUGAGGUGUGAUGACGAAGCACUACGGUGCUGAAGUAACAAAUGCCCUGCUUCCAGGAAAAGCCUCUAAGCAUCAGGUAACAUCAAAUCGUACCCCAAACCGACACAGGUGGUCAGGUAGAGAAUACCAAGGCGCUUGAGAGAACUCGGGUGAAGGAACUAGGCAAAAUGGUGCCGUAACUUCGGGAGAAGGCACGCUGGUGUGUAGGUGAAGCCCCUGCGGGUGGAGCUGAGACCAGUCGAAGAUACCAGCUGGCUGCAACUGUUUAUUAAAAACACAGCACUGUGCAAACACGAAAGUGGACGUAUACGGUGUGACGCCUGCCCGGUGCCGGAAGGUUAAUUGAUGGGGUUAUCCGUAAGGAGAAGCUCUUGAUCGAAGCCCCGGUAAACGGCGGCCGUAACUAUAACGGUCCUAAGGUAGCGAAAUUCCUUGUCGGGUAAGUUCCGACCUGCACGAAUGGCGUAAUGAUGGCCAGGCUGUCUCCACCCGAGACUCAGUGAAAUUGAACUCGCUGUGAAGAUGCAGUGUACCCGCGGCAAGACGGAAAGACCCCGUGAACCUUUACUAUAGCUUGACACUGAACAUUGAGCCUUGAUGUGUAGGAUAGGUGGGAGGCUUUGAAGCGUGGACGCCAGUCUGCGUGGAGCCAACCUUGAAAUACCACCCUUUAAUGUUUGAUGUUCUAACGUUGGCCCCUUAUCGGGGUUGCGGACAGUGUCUGGUGGGUAGUUUGACUGGGGCGGUCUCCUCCCAAAGCGUAACGGAGGAGCACGAAGGUUAGCUAAUCCUGGUCGGACAUCAGGAGGUUAGUGCAAUGGCAUAAGCUAGCUUGACUGCGAGCGUGACGGCGCGAGCAGGUGCGAAAGCAGGUCAUAGUGAUCCGGUGGUUCUGAAUGGAAGGGCCAUCGCUCAACGGAUAAAAGGUACUCCGGGGAUAACAGGCUGAUACCGCCCAAGAGUUCAUAUCGACGGCGGUGUUUGGCACCUCGAUGUCGGCUCAUCACAUCCUGGGGCUGAAGUAGGUCCCAAGGGUAUGGCUGUUCGCCAUUUAAAGUGGUACGCGAGCUGGGUUUAGAACGUCGUGAGACAGUUCGGUCCCUAUCUGCCGUGGGCGCUGGAGAAUUGAGGGGGGCUGCUCCUAGUACGAGAGGACCGGAGUGGACGCAUCACUGGUGUUCGGGUUGUCAUGCCAAUGGCACUGCCCGGUAGCUAAAUGCGGAAGAGAUAAGUGCUGAAAGCAUCUAAGCACGAAACUUGCCCCGAGAUGAGUUCUCCCUGAGACUUUAAGUCUCCUGAAGGAACGUUAAAGACGAUGACGUUGAUAGGCCGGGUGUGUAAGCGCAGCGAUGCGUUGAGCUAACCGGUACUAAUGAACCGUGAGGCUUAACCU
rnacentral:rRNA from 1 species